AGUAAUCAUGCUUGAAAAAUACAUUUGUUCAUAGAAACAUGGUAUUAAAUAGUGUAAGAUUCACAAUAAGACAUAGUUUCAAAUGUUUGUGAUAUGAAUCCUAACAAUAAUCAUAUUUUCUUGUGUAUUGUAGUUGUACUGUGUGAAUCAUAUGAAUCAUAAAACGAUUUCGUAUCACGACUUGGGUUUUUUUUCUGGAUUUAGGUGUGAACUGGGUCUGGUCACUUGAGUUAACCCUAAUUUUAAUCUUUUUACCCACAAACCUGCACCAUAGACGAAUGUCCUUCUCCUCUCCAACAACAACGAAGCUUGAACUUGAGGUGGAUGACCAGAAUGUGCGAAUGACGACGAAGGCAGCAACGACGAAAUAAUAUUAGAAUGGAAGCACACGUUGGAGCAACAUGAGGCACGGGACACUUCAGUUCACAAGUAAAAAUAGCGGGAGGUGCAGAAGUUACUCGAAGCGUUGUAGUCAUCGGAGACACCAGAGUUGUCAGAGACACCAGAGUUGUCGGAGACAAAAAAGAACUCUUUUUGUUGCAAAGGAAGAACAAUCAGCGAAGAAUUUUUUGUUGCUAUCUU
rnacentral:lncRNA from 1 species